rnacentral:rRNA from 1 species
AUUGAACGCUGGCGGCAGGCCUAACACAUGCAAGUCGAGCGAGAAAGGCUUUCGGGCUGAGUACAGCGGCGGACGGGUGAGUAACGCGUAGGAAUCUACCUGGUAGUGGGGGACAACAUGGGGAAACUCAUGCUAAUACCGCAUACGCCCUAUGGGGGAAAGUGGGGGACCUUCGGGCCUCACGCUAUCAGAUGAGCCUGCGUAGGAUUAGCUUGUUGGUGAGGUAAAGGCUCACCAAGGCGACGAUCCUUAGCUGGUCUGAGAGGAUGAUCAGCCACACUGGAACUGAGACACGGUCCAGACUCCUACGGGAGGCAGCAGUGGGGAAUAUUGUCAAUGGGAGCAAUCCUGAACCAGCAAUGCCGCGUGUGGGAUGACAGGGCUCAGCCUUGUAAACCACUGUCGGACGGGACGAGAGGGUGUUUUUGGUCACCUGGGACGGUACCGUCAAAGGAAAGGGUCGGCGUAACUACGUGCCAGCAGCCGCGGU